UGGAUCAGUCCAUGUAAUGUCAGAGGUCAAGCGGGAAAUAAUGAAACGAAAUCACGACAGAAAGUUUGAAAAUAAAGUCUAAAUGACAUGGAUAAAAGACCAAAAAAAGGUGGAGGGGAGAAAAAGAAAAUCUUGAGGCCGAUGCUCAGUUUGGAGGAUCACUUCCUCGUCCAAAAGGUGCACAAGAACAAAUCUCCCUUCGACUGGAGGACACAGGCAGAGAGAGACAGAGGAAGUGCUUGACCUUGGGUCAUGAAGAGGCCGAAGCCACUUAUACCCAAUGUCAACACAUGACACCUUUUUCAGUCUUCACUUUCCACUUUGCAACAGCGGUCCCACGUCCCUCGCUAUCCCCAUCACCAUGACAACCAGAGGAGGUGGGAGUGCUGCUGUGUGCCAGCACCGCUGUCAAUCCAUCAAGAUCGUUGUCAGCUUUUUCCUCUGGCGGCGGUGCUCAAACAGCAGUACCACAGCUAAUGGAAACAGAAAAUCAAACCAUUAACAGAAUGUAGUGGUAGUGGUUGAAUUGCCUAUGAAACAAAGCAAGUGGAUUAAUGAGAAUAACGUUUUUUUAUUGUAAUAAAACAGCCAAAAAACCCCAAGAAGGUGUUUCAUUGCUUUAAUUAGGAUUAGAACUGCAUAUCAGAACUGAGGAUAGAGGAAACACCCAAAGUAAAAUUGCACUAUAAUCAAAGGCGUAAUUACCAUAUGGGCCCAGACCCUUAGGGGCUAAACUAAACCCCAAGUUCACUGUGUAGCAAUCGGUUUGUGGUAAUUUUAGUUGCACAGAAUCGCAGCUUAUUAUGAGGGUCUUUACAUGGAUCCUGCUUUGUUACCAGAUCAUGUGGCUCGAUUUUAGCAUCAUCACAUUAGUUUGUAUUCUGUUGCUUGUAUCAUAAAUAUUCCUACAAAAACAUCUUGAUUUACUGAAAUGGCCGAGUCAGAGUUCAGAUCUCAAUCUGGUUUGUAACUGCACUUGACUCAUCCGUGAUCCACAUACAAGCUGGAGCAGCUUUGUCCAUAUGUGCAAAGCUGAUUUGACUGAGUUUAAAAGGGCCUUUCUCUGUUCAUCAGUGUCACAUUAAAUUGACUUACAUAUGUAAGACAAAUGAAAGCAGAGAAGCGGUAACGAGGGGGGAUGUCGUGUGGUUAUGCAGUUAUCAAAGCACGUCCAGAUUGUUUAUCUGUAGAUUUGGAAUAGACGGAAACAUGAAAAACCUCCAAGGAAGAUGAAUACUUACAGGUGGUUUGUGUUAAAUCCAAUCACCACAUAGCGAACAUGGAGCCAUGUAAUAUUCCAGCACAGGAAUACUGUACAUAAUGCAGAGAGAUGACAAUAAAUAGGGAGUCAUAGACCCUCAAACAGGCCAUGCACUAAUCAUUUGGACGUUGCAUCAUGAACAAAUAUCUGUUUGAAACAAAUAUCGUUUCCAAAAAGUUGCACAGAAAUUGCAUAACUCUUGUACUGAUCCAUGCAUGCAUGGAGAAUGUAACUGCCUUGUCAAGCAUGAUGAUGUACUAAUUGUAAUAUAACACAAAUACAUAUUUAGCAGAAAAACCAUGAGAACCACCACUCAAAAUGUCCAUUAUGAUUUUUUUUUAUUAUGAGAGAAAUUUGACUUUACAUCACCACGGGGGUGAGAAUAAAACAUAAAUAAAACAUUCUUACAAAAUGUUGCAAUAAAUCACCAACGAAACAAUUUUUUACAUUUGAUUUGUUUUAUACAUAAAUCAUAUUUACACAUUUGUCUUUGCCCUUUUUUUUUUUUUUUUUUUUUUUUUUUACAUUGUUGGGAAUGAAACAACCCUGUACCACUUUUAUAGUACAAACAUUUCCUUCGUUUCAAAGCAGAGGUAUAAAAGCUCUCCUCUCUCUCUCCUGAGAAGAUGCUGGGUUCUACUCUAGUGCAUUUUAUCAUUAAGAUUUAAGGCUACGCAGGGUUCACCUGAUGGACACACUCGUCUCAUGGACAGGCCUAUCAUCAUCGGGGAAGGAGUUCAUUUUCCUGACUCGCGUCUGCUGAUUGUCCCUUACAGAGAGAGGUUUGCGGUUCUGCCUGGUCGCUCCCUCCAACCAUUAGACCGUCUUUUUUCAUAUUAAAGUUGCUGCUGACUGGUUUCACUGAAUAACCAAUUACAAUCUCUGACAACUUAUUUGUUUCCUGCGUCAAUUACAAAUGCCGUGGGGAAAAUGUCACAGAGUGUGAAAGCCCACGCUCAUCACAUUAUCUCUGUACAGCAACGACCUGCUGAGAAAAAAUAUGUCAAUUUUUCUCAGCAGGGAGAGUAUAUAAAAAAAAGAAAUGACAAAAAAAAAAAUUGUUUCAUACUUUCUGGUUGUUGUUGUGGGAGAGGGAACUAAUUUAGUCAUAGGUGCAGCGCUCCCUAGUGGUCAAAGCCCAUUCCUCUGUUUCUUUGACAGGAUUACACCAAAUCCAUAAACAAAAGACAUGAAGCAACUAAUUGGCUGGCCCUGUGAGCUUCUAGGAAGACACACUAUAAUAAACCAGUCUGGACAUGAAGUCAAAUCCUCAACACAAACGGCAAGUUAACAAACAAGCACUUAAAGAUGAGACAAAAGAGGCAGCAAGAAAGCAGUUCUGUGGCGCUGCUCUGUAAUUCACUCAAAAGGGUUGUUUCUUUGUACUUCCUACCUGUCCAGCAGGUAGUUGUGUAGCCCUCAAUCUGGGCUAAGUGGGGCUAAAACACAGGCUUAGAAAUUAAGACAGGUCACCUUGGAAACAUUACAUAAAAGCUACCAGCCCCUUAUUUCCAUUUUAAACACUAACAAGAUGUAACCGCAGCAUCUUUUAUGUUCUUUAACACAUUACCACACUUUGGAUCGUUGUUGCUUUUCAUGAGCAUCAGUGCCCUCGAUUAAAAAGUUCCACAGAAGACAAAGACCUCCUUGAUUCAUAACUCAAAAAUGCAUCAACAUAUUUGGACCAAAGUGCUUGACAACACUGAUGAGUGUUGAUUAAUUUGAAGUUAUCAGAGACUCAGGCAGAACCUGCUGAGCGGGUUUAGUCAUUAAACGUUCAAACAGGAACACCUAACAUCAUUCUGGUGUUUUUAAUUACCGUCCUUUCUCGUUUUC